rnacentral:tRNA from 1 species
GCCCGCCUAGCUCAAUCGGAUAGAGCGUCAGACUCUUAUGUCUAAGGCACAGGGCAUCUGAAGGCUGCGAGUUCGACCCUCGCGGUGGGCU